GAAAAUUCUAUGAGGUCAGUAGGGCAGUGGUUCCUGUUUUGAUAUGAACAAAGCAAGGACCCCAGUGGUGAAUUGAUUUGCUCAAGGUUGUACAAGACAGGCAGCCAAGCCAGAGGUCAAAUCCCCUCCCUUGAGUCCAGAGCCUUUGGAUUUCUGCCCAAUUUCUUGAGGUCAAGACCUGAGAAGCAAGUACUGGUGAAUGGGGUCCCCCACAGCUUGGAUGCUGUUUAAGAAUUCUGAGGAGAGGAGAUUCCCCUUCCUGGCUUCAGUUUUCAGUGUCAACAUUAAAUUAUGAUGAUGUAUGACAUGAGAUUGUGUCCCCUGCUGGCCCCUGAAAGUUGCAUUUCUUCUGAGGGCAGCUACAGAGGAUCCAUUUUGCUGUUCUCAGUAGGUCUGGAGUGACCUACUUGGGACACAAAGCUCGUUGCCCUCAUGAGCCAUUUCUCACAGCAGCCACUCAGGGACUUCCUACAUACUUCUAGUUUGCCUGUAUGGUGCCCCCCGUUGGGGUGUCAUCACUUCAUUAAAAUGCAGAAUUAAAGUUUGUCACUGGACACCCAGCCAGCUGUCAGGAUCCCCCCUCCUCCUGCCACUGUCACACACUUGGUACUUCCCAGUACAGUGUGGUGUUUAGGGAAUUCUGGAGUCAGACAGAUGUGAGUUCAAGGUCUAGGUGUGACACUAAAUGUGGACUUGGUUCAAUUUUUCAGCCUCUCUGAAUCUCCAUUUCUUCAUCAGUAAAAUGGGUAUUUGGAUAAUGAAAAGCAGGCAGUUAAUACUUCCUCGGACUCUGGUAGUUCAUGAGACUGUGUCAGUGAGCUAUGACUACACUAAUGUCACAUAACAGAUAACCAUAAACCUUAGGGGCACAUGACAAUCAGCAAUCCACAGAAGAACAAAUGUAAGUAGCCAACCCAAAUGUGGACAGACUUCCCUGCAUUAGUAAACAAAGCAUGUCCAAUUAAAGAAAACCCAAGAUACCAUUUUUCAUCUAUACUUAAUGGGAACUCUUUAAAAGAUAGACUUUACUUUUUAGAACAGUUUUGAGAUUGCUAGAAAAUUUAAGAAAGACAGCACAGAGAGUUCCCAUACACCUCUGUUCUGGUUUGCUAUCACUAGCAUCUUACCUCAAUCGGGGAUAUU
rnacentral:lncRNA from 1 species